GUCAGGUGUAGUGGCGCAUGCCUGUAAUCCCAGGGGCUUGGGAGGCUGAGGCAGGAGGAUUGCAUGUUCAAAGCCAGCCUCAGCGAUUUAGUGAAGCCCUAAGCAACUCAGUGAGACUCUGUUUCUA
rnacentral:sRNA from 1 species